rnacentral:misc_RNA from 1 species
GAUGAAGAACGUACCAAAAUGCGAUAAGUAAUGUGAAUUGCAGAAUUCAGUGAAUCAUCGAAUCUUUGAACGCACAUUGCGCCCGCUGGUAUUCCGGCGGGCAUGCCUGUUCGAGCGUCAUUUCAACCCUCAAGCCCCCGGGUUUGGUGUUGGGGAUCGGCUCUGCCCUUCUGGGCGGUGCCGCCCCCGAAAUACAUUGGCGGUCUCGCUGCAGCCUCCAUUGCGUAGUAGCUAACACCUCGCAACUGGAACGCGGCGCGGCCAUGCCGUAAAACCCCAACUUCUGAAUGUUGACCUCGGAUCAGGUAGGAAUACCCGCUGAACUUAAGCAUAUCAAUAAGCGGAGGA